UACGGGGGGUGCGAGCGUUGUCCGGAAUCACUGGGCGUAAAGGGCGCGUAGGUGGUUUGAUAAGGGUGUGGUGAAAGUCCGGAGCUCAACUCCGGAUCUGCCGUGCCGACUGUCAAACUCGAGGGCUGUAGAGGCAGACGGAAUUCCAGGUGUAGCGGUGAAAUGCGUAGAUAUCUGGAGGAACACCGGUGGCGAAGGCGGCAUCCUGGACCGAUAUUGACGCUGAGGCGCGAAAGCCAGGGGAGCAAACGGG
rnacentral:rRNA from 1 species